UGGGGAAUUUUGGACAAUGGGCGAAAGCCUGAUCCAGCAAUGCCGCGUGUGUGAAGAAGGCCUUCGGGUUGUAAAGCACUUUUGUCCGGAAAGAAAUGGCUCUGGUUAAUACCUGGGGUCGAUGACGGCACCGGAAGAAUAAGGACCGGCUAACUACGUGCCAGCAGCCGCGGUAAUACGUAGGGUCCAAGCGUUAAUCGGAAUUACUGGGCGUAAAGCGUGCGCAGGCGGUUGUGCAAGACCGAUGUGAAAUCCCCGAGCUUAACUUGGGAAUUGCAUUGGUGACUGCACGGCUAGAGUGUGUCAGAGGGGGGUAGAAUUCCACGUGUAGCAGUGAAAUGCGUAGAGAUGUGGAGGAAUACCGAUGGCGAAGGCAGCCCCCUGGGAUAACACUGACGCUCAUGCACGAAAGCGUGGGGAGCAAACAGGAUUAGAUACCCUGGUAGUCCACGCCCUAAACGAUGUCAACUAGUUGUUGGGGAUUCAUUUCCUUAGUAACGUAGCUAACGCGUGAAGUUGACCGCCUGGGGAGUACGGUCGCAAGAUUAAAAGCUUAAAGGGAAAUUGACGGGGGUCAUGAGCUGUUUUCCU
rnacentral:rRNA from 1 species